rnacentral:rRNA from 1 species
GAUGAACGCUGGCGGCGUGCCUAAUACAUGCAAGUCGAGCGAACAGACGAGGAGCUUACUCCUCUGACGUUAGUGGCGGACGGGUGAGUAACACGUGGAUAACCUACCUAUAAGACUGGGAUAACUUCGGGAAACCGGAGCUAAUACCGGAUAACAUGUUGAACCGCAUGGUUCAACAGUGAAAGACGGUCUUGCUGUCACUUAUAGAUGGAUCCGCGUCGCAUUAGCUAGUUGGUAAGGUAACGGCUUACCAAGGCAACGAUGCGUAGCCGACCUGAGAGGGUGAUCGGCCACACUGGAACUGAGACACGGUCCAGACUCCUACGGGAGGCAGCAGUAGGGAAUCUUCCGCAAUGGGCGAAAGCCUGACGGAGUAACGCCGCGUGAGUGAAGAAGGUCUUCGGAUCGUAAAACUCUGUUAUUAGGGAAGAACAAAUGUGUAAGUAACUAUGCACGUCUUGACGGUACCUAAUCAGAAAGCCACGGCUAACUACGUG